GCACUUCCUGCCCUUCACCACAAUGAACAUCUUCCACGGGGAGGCAGGAAAACCUACAACUGGCUUAGAAGACUUGGGUCUUACUUCCCAUCUGCCAGAGAACCUUUAGCUCCAUGCCGUGGAGCCUCUGCCUACAAAGAGCUGGGUUUCCGUUCCUGCCAACCUCAGAGGCCUGGUCGCCAUAUUAAUGAGGAUGUACAAAUAUGAGCUGAAAAGACCAAUCGGUACGAUGAGAGUGUUGUUGCGACAAGGCCCACACCAAGGUUCUUGGGUCCUCUGGGCUCUGGUGGUCUGACUUGGCACAGACAGAGCUACCAAAAAUACCUAUUAUAAAAACAUCCACAAACAUUGCGACACAAUGAAUCGUUCUGAAAAGAGGCAAGGAACCCACUGAACCCUAAACUAGCACCCAGCAGCUAGCACGGGGCCUGGUAGCCUGCAGGCCCCUCCACUGGGAUGAGCUGAGAGAAGAAUGAGGGAACGAAUGAGGCAGCAGCGCCAUGCUCAUUAAUUAUAGAUGCCCACCCAAAAGCCUUUAGCCGGAUCUUCCUUUCUGAGUCUCUGUGGGUGGCCAGGUGACUAAGCAUUGGCCAGUGGUAAGCACAUGGAAGUUGCUAGGCGGAGCUUUACAGAAAGCUCCUUGCAAAUGGGAGCUGACUCAGCAGAGACUUCUUUACUUGUCCUCCUUCUUCAUUCUUGGAACGAGAAUAUGAUGGCUGGACUGGAGAGGCCAUUUUGCGACCACGAGGCAACUCUGAGGCCAUGCCCUAAGGAAGGCUGCGCAGAAAGGACGGUGACUAUUAGGAACUUAGACUAGCAGCAGAAGGUAGUUCCUAAUUUACACACCAACUGUCCUGCUGGCUGUGGAAAGAGCUGUGUAAAAAAUCAUGUGAAAAGUGGCUAACGAGGAGAAAUCACCGAGGCCAAGUUUAGAGCCUGUGGUCGUCUCAGGUACAACUAGGAUUCUGAACAUAGUAGCCCCAUUUGCGAGAUGGGCAACAAGGACAAAGGGGAAGAAGAGAGGAGAAAGGCCACGAGGGAGGCAGCAGGUGGCACUGGAUCCGAGGCGGCCUGGAGAGAGACACAAGGCCAGACAUCUGUCUCAUGCCAUCUUCCUCCGUGAGCGGUUCAACGAAAUGAUGCCAAUUUAUUUAACAAAUUACUUUUGUUGUCACUGAGUUUUUAUUUGUUUUUAAAGCAUCUACUAUGUACUGGUAAUUGUAGGGGCCUCGGGACACAAACACGAGGAGCUCAGCAUCUGCCCUACGGGAGCGCACGUCUUCACGGGGGCAGCCAGCCGUACAGCUCGACUGUUCAAGAGCCGAGGAGGAGAGAAUACGGCUCCUCAGAAAUUGGCAUGAGUCAUUCACUGUAGUAAAACCAAUUCUGAAAGAUACUAAAAACAAAAGAGAGGUUCAUUAGCUGCCUUUAGGGAACCGAUGAAUUGUUCCUCAAACUGGCAAACAGAGGGUAAGAAUCAAGUCUGCAUCUUUUUCUUAAUACAACUGUGUUUCGGAAUAACCAAGCCACUGACGAGACAGAGACUCCCUUUCCAGAAGUGUCCAGGGAGUGAAUGAAGGAUUACGGCCCCGAAACUCCUGGUGUAAUAGAUGAUGACCAGGCCAUCCGCCCCCGAUGGAAAGACACGUAGGACUACGGACGGCGUGUUCUUGUGGAAAACAUUCAACCUGAAUCCGCUCAAGCCUCUGGGUCAACUGCGGUGUCCGGAAAAUACAGGGUCAGAGGAAUAACACGAUGUAAACGAUACCAGGAGGAAGCAAUCACUAGUCCAGCCUGGGGAGCAUCCUAUAGGACAAAUGAACCAGCAUUUCCCACAGUAAGACUGCAAGGAAAAAAGUGGACACUGACAGACAAAGAGGGACCCUGGAAGGAGGGACCUUAUCUGGAUCUUGACUUGGACGCACCAGUGGGUAAACUAAGGCUUGCCAGACUGUCAAGGACAACUGGACACGGACUGGGAAUUUAAUGACACUGAAGAGUUACGGCUAAUUUUUUUAGGUGCUCUCUGAGGCUGGCAGAGGUGCGCUCUCCUCACCGUGUGCAGGAAAUGCCACGGUCCUAGGCUCAUCCCGGCCCCAUGUGUCAAGGCCCGAGGCCAGGCCACAGACCAGACGUUUCUGCCCUGGGCCAGGGGAGCACACCUGGAGAGGCCAUCCAGUGAGAUGGGCGUGGGCUGUCCAGAUGGGCGUCUCUCAAUUGGCUUCAUGGAACCAUCUGGAUUCCCACAAACCAGGGGACACCCUUUACCAUGAGCACAGUUGAAAAAGGGCGCCAGGAAGCCUCCCACACCAGGUAGGCAGCCUUUGCAAUACAAAAACAACACUGGAGAAUUAAUCGAGUCUGCUUUCUCACUGCCAGCAUGGGGAAGGGGUGAGAAGAGAGCAUGGAGAAGGGUCUGGCAGCGGAGGGGCGGGGGGGAGGUAGAACCCAGGGCACAGAUGUUGGGCCAAGUCUACCUGUGAGUAGAAAGUAUGCGUGACACCUUUGCCUCAUUCUCUUGUUGCUUAGUUCAAAGAGGAUGGUGGGGAAAAUACUUGUUCUUUUGAUCUCUAUAAAUCAAAGUAUAAACUCUGUGCCAAAAUAAUUUAACAGCUGUGCCCUUUUUUCUUAAAAUUAUUAGUUCUGAAACCAGAAAACACAAAAAGUAGAAAAAUAUCCAAAUGCUAUCUUAUGAACCAAGUAUUUCUUCAUUAUAAGAAAAAAAAGGCAACCUAACAACAACAAAAAAACUAUACAAAAUACAAAUGACAUGGGCACAAUUUUUUUCCUCCUUUAUAACCUAAAUUUGGGAGGACCUCAGGAGCAAUCUUUAGAAGCCUUUGAUAACAAAAAAAAAAAAAAAAAAAAGGAGGGAUGUUAAUCGUGUAGGAACUUCUGAAUGAAACAGAGCUGGAGGGGAGGAGCAGAAGA